UACAGAGGUCUCAAGCGUUGUUCGGAUUCAUUGGGCGUAAAGGGUGCGUAGGCGGCGCGGUAAGUCGGGUGUGAAAUUUCGGAGCUUAACUCCGAAACUGCAUUCGAUACUGCCGUGCUUGAGGACUGGAGAGGAGACUGGAAUUUACGGUGUAGCAGUGAAAUGCGUAGAGAUCGUAAGGAAGACCAGUGGCGAAGGCGGGUCUCUGGACAGU
rnacentral:rRNA from 1 species